UGUUCAGCAACUUUAUAUCAUACAAAAAAAUUUAAAUCGAGAGUGAACCCAUAGGACGUGUUUAGGAAUUUACAUUAUUUAUUUGGUGGGGAAAAGUUGAGGCCAGCUCAUGAAAAAGAAGUCAACAGAUAAUUAACUCAGUGAUAUCAGAAUAAAUGAUGUAACAAGUAUGCCUACUACUGAACAAGGAAUAAAUUAUUUGUUAUACAGAUAAUUAACUCAGUGAUAUCAGAAUAAAUGAUGUAACAAGUAUGCCUACUACUGAACAAGGAAUAGAUUAUUUGUUAUACAAGUAUGGAGCUAUGUAAGUAUACUAUAGAAGGCAGAGAGAGAUGUGGAUCGGGUAUGUCAUAAUACCUAUAUGGGUAAACAAAGGGAGUAAUACUGUUUCUACAGGAUUAAUAAUAAUAAUAGUAAUAAUAAUAAUAAUAAUGCCACAAAGAAUCAAGGGCCAUUCAUGGCCCGCGGGCCCGCAGCUGGACCGUACUUCUUUUCAUUAUAAUUCAUGACCAUAAUACCUUGCAAAACUGAGAGUGGUUUUUGUCUGCCUUACGUACCGAUUUUCCGCCGCCAGUCAGUCGUUUGGGAGAUAUUAGUCUGGGAACCGCGACCCUGCCAUUGUAUUUUUCGAAUCGUGUUUCGACCUGCGAGAUCCAAGGAAGGGAUUGUUCGGACAGGAGUGUGGAACCCCGAGCUGAAGUGCGCCUGCGUGGUGGAUGCGUCAUAGCCAUGUUUGUUGUCAAUGGUGCGCAUGCUCGAUAGCGACGUGACGUUGAGUCACGUGUUAAGACCUAUGAUGACGUGAGGUUACCUGCUGCGAAUCAGGUCACUCGGAAAUUUAUCGGCCAAUCACAUAUAAGCACGUGUGUUUAGAGGAGGAAGCAGCACCCGGGACUGUCUGUGCUACGUUAGUUAGACCAUGGCUACGGAAGAGAGACGUGUGCUGGCUGUAAAUAAACAAAGAGGCAGUUUACCGACAGUUCCCUCAGCUUCUUCUUAAGAUACCAGGAGGUCUAUGAGUGCCAAGUCUGUGGUUCAUAAACAUGCUGUGGGCCAGGAGGUCUGUAAGUGCCCAGUCUGUGGUUCGUAAGCAUACUGUGUGGGCCAGGAGGUCUGUGAGUGCCAAGUCUGUGGUUCGUAAACAUACUGUGGGCCUGUGUGUGUGUGUGUGUGUGUGUGAGAGAGAGAGAGAGAGAGAGAGAGAGAGAGAGAGAGAGAGAGAGAGAGAGAGAGAGAGAGAGAGAGAGAGAGAGAGAGAGAGAGAGAGAGAGA